rnacentral:rRNA from 1 species
UACGAAGGGGGCUAGCGUUGCUCGGAAUCACUGGGCGUAAAGCGCACGUAGGCGGAUUGCUAAGUCAGGGGUGAAAUCUCGGAGCUUAACUCCGAAACUGCAUUCGAUACUGCCGUGCUUGAGGACUGGAGAGGAGACUGGAAUUUACGGUGUAGCGGUGAAAUGCGUAGAUAUCGUAAGGAAGACCAGUGGCGAAGGCGGGUCUCUGGACAGUUCCUGACGCUGAGGCACGAAGGCCAGGGGAGCAAACGGG